rnacentral:tRNA from 1 species
GGCGCAUUCGUCUAGUGGCCUAGGACACCGCCCUCUCACGGCGGCGGCACGGGUUCGAAUCCCGUAUGCGCCUCCU